rnacentral:sRNA from 1 species
AGCGGAGAGCAGGGCAGAGCCUGAGCAGGCAGGGCACCUCCAGGUGGGCAGGAGCUACCACUCAGCACCAUGAGCACCGCCACAGGCCCAGAAGCUGCCCCGAAGCCAAGCGCCAAGUCUAUCUAUGAGCAGAGGAAGCGUUACUCCACAGUUGUUAUGGCUGAUGUAUCCCAGUACCCAGUCAAUCACCUGGUGACGUUCUGCCUGGGUGAGGACGAUGGCGUGCAUACCGUGGAGGAUGCCUCCAGGAAGUUGGCCGUCAUGGAUAGCCAGGGCCGAGUCUGGGCACAGGAGAUGCUGCUGCGAGUGUCUCCCGACCAUGUCACGCUGCUCGACCCGGCCUCCAAGGAGGAGCUGGAGUCGUACCCACUGGGCGCCAUCGUGCGCUGUGACGCGGUGAUGCCACCCGGCAGGAGCCGCUCGUUGCUGCUGCUCGUGUGCCAGGAACCCGAGCGCGCGCAGCCCGACGUGCACUUCUUCCAGGGCCUGCGCCUCGGGGUGAGCGGAUGGGCUGGCUCUGGGGGUGGAGCUGGAACUGGGCGGAGCCUGGAGCCGGGGCGGAAAUGGGUGGGGCCUCUAGGUGGGGCGGGGCCUGG